GACGAACGCUGGCGGUGUGCUUAACACAUGCAAGUCGAACGGAAAGGCCCUGCUUUUGUGGGGUGCUCGAGUGGCGAACGGGUGAGUAACACGUGAGUAACCUGCCCUUGACUUUGGGAUAACUUCAGGAAACUGGGGCUAAUACCGGAUAGGAGCUCCUGCUGCAUGGUGGGGGUUGGAAAGUUUCGGCGGUUGGGGAUGGACUCGCGGCUUAUCAGCUUGUUGGUGGGGUAGUGGCUUACCAAGGCUUUGACGGGUAGCCGGCCUGAGAGGGUGACCGGCCACAUUGGGACUGAGAUACGGCCCAGACUCCUACGGGAGGCAGCAGUGGGGAAUAUUGCACAAUGGGCGGAAGCCUGACGCAGCAACGCCGCGUGCGGGAUGACGGCCUUCGGGUUGUAAACCGCUUUCGCCUGUGACGAAGCGUGAGUGACGGUAAUGGGUAAAGAAGCACCGGCUAACUACGUG
rnacentral:rRNA from 1 species